rnacentral:rRNA from 1 species
CAUGUAGGCGGUUUUUUAAGUCUGGAGUGAAAAUGCGGGGCUCAACCCCGUAUGGCUCUGGAUACUGGAAGACUUGAGUGCAGGAGAGGAAAGGGGAAUUCCCAGUGUAGCGGUGAAAUGCGUAGAUAUUGGGAGGGAACACCAGUGGCGAAGGCGCCUUUCUGGACUGUGUCUGACGCUGAGAUGCGAAAGCCAGGGUAGCGAACG